rnacentral:tRNA from 1 species
UCUCUUGUGGUGUAAUGGUUAACAUCUCCGGUUUUCACCCGGAAGCUCCGGGUUCAAUUCCCGGCAAGAGAA